GCGAACGCUGGCGGCAUGGCUAAAGCAUGCAAGUCGAACGAUUAAAGCCCCUUCGGGGGUGUAUAAAGUGGCGAAAGGGCGAGGAAUACGUUCCCACGUACCCCAAGGUCGAGGAUAGCCCAGGGAAACCUGGAGUAAUACUCGAUGUGGUGCCUCGGCAUCAAAGGCUUCGGUCGCCUUGGGAGCGGGGAACGUCCUAUCAGGUUGUUGGUGAGGUAACGGCUCACCAAGCCGAAGACGGGUAGCGGGUGUGAGAGCACGACCCGCCGCAUCGGGACUGAGACACUGCCCGGACUCCUACGGGAGGCUGCAGCAACGAAUCUUCCGCAAUGCGCGAAAGCGUGACGGAGCAAUGCCGCGUGCAGGAUGAAGCCCUUCGGGGUGUAAACUGCUGUCAGGGUUUAGCAACACAAUGAGCAGACCCAAAGGAAGGGCCGGCUAACUUCGUG
rnacentral:rRNA from 1 species